UGGCUUAAAGCAAGCCAUGUGUAUUUUGCUCACAAGUCUGUGAUUUUUGGAAGGGCUCAGUGGGUACAGCCACCUCUGCCCUAUUUGGCACCAGCUGCUGUGGCUCGAAGUCUAGAGGCUGCAGUCAUCUGGAGACUCGCUCAUUGCGUGGCUGACAGUUGAUGCUGGUUGUUGCCUGAGACCUCAGUGGGAGCUGUCAGCUGGAACAUAUAUAUACAGUUUCUCCAUGUGGCUUGGGCUCCCUCACAACAUGCUGUCUGGGUUCCAAGGGUGAAUGUUCUAAGAGGAGGCUAGGCAGAAGUCAUAUCACCUUUUACAAUCUCUCUUGGAAAUCACAUGGUGUUACUUCUGCUGGACUGAGGCAGUCAUAAAACUUCACCCAUGUUCAAGAUUGAGGUCUCCAGAAACACAUGCUGAGGUGGAAUUUGGGGUGAAGAUACUUACUAGAGAUCCACAUCAGUAAAGAGAAGGGGGAAGAAGCAAGAUUGGGCAGACAAAGCAGCCAAACUGCAAUCCAGGCCCUACAAAUCCUUGGACAACCUGGCUGAGAGCUCUGGAACAAGCGUUGCAGAUCAGAAUUGUCUCAUGUGGGAUAUAGAUGGUUGUGUCUUUAUGUCCCUGUCUUUCUCAGGCAUCAGAUGCAGGCUGCUCUGGGAAGCAGGGGACAUUGGGUGAAGUGACUCUCUAUAAUUGUGCAGCCUCUGAGCUGUGACCUUAUGGGUGGAGGUGUCUGUGGACCCCAUUCCAGGAGUGAGAUAGCAAGUCCUUCCUUGGAAGGGGAUCUUGGCAGUGCAUCUUUGUGUUUGCCCAACCCUUGGAAUUGCCCGUCUAAUAUCCACUGUUACCUUUAUUUUGACUAACAGAACACCCAAAUUUCAUUUGCAGCUCCGGUGUUUUACAUAUUCUCUGCCCUGACCUCCUUCAGAGGUAGGAAGGACCAAGUAACAUAGUUGGGCCAAAUAGAUAGAGCCAUAAAUUUCUAGAUAAUUUUAUCUAGACACGAUAAUUUUAUCAAUAAAAGAGACAAAACCUCCCAAGGAUGAGUCUUUUGUCUCUUAAAUUUCUCCCUUUUUCCUGCCUGGAACUUGAGACUAUGAAGACAAAAGUCAGCCUAAAGAAGGCAGGGCAAGAAGCUACCUGGGUGAUUUUCUCAAACAACUGUAUCGGCUUGGGACUGCCAAAUGCCUGGCUUCUUGCACGAGAAAAAUACCCCCAUCACCUUCUUUUGUUCAAUUCAGUAUGGUAGGGUUUCUGUUACAGGCAGCCAAAUGUAGUCCUGUCUGGAACAGUAUGUUAGAUAUGUUAGCAUAUACAGUAGAUGUGCAUUUGUGAUUAUUUCUUUCAGAUUGAGUCCAAGUGAGAAUGGUGAGUCAAAAUAUUUUUAAAGUUCUUUGUGCCUAUUGCGAAAGCUUUACAGGAGGGUUUUACAUAUUUUAUUUUAAUCAGUAGGACAUGAGAUUUUCUUACUGAAUUAUGCCAACAUUAAACAUUUUUUAAAAAGACAGGGUCUUGUUCUGUCACCCAGUCUGGAGUGCAGUGACGUGAUCAUGGCUUGCUGCAGCCUUGACCUCCCAGGCUCAAGCAAUCCUCUCACCUCAGCUUUCUGAGUAGCUGAGACCACAGGUGCUUGCCACUAUGCCUACCUACUUUUUUUUCUAUUUUUUGUAGAGAUGGGGGUCUCCUUAUGUUGCCCAUGCUGGUCUUGAACUCCUGGACUCAAGUGAUCCUCCUCCCGUCGCUUCCCCAGAGUGCUAGGAUUACAGGCAUGAGCCACUGCUCCCAGCCAAUGCCAAUAUAUUUUUUUCUUUUUGAGAUGAGAUCUUGCUAUAUUGCCUAGACUGGUCUCAAACUUUUGGCCUUAAGUGAUCUUCCUACCUCAGCCUCCUACGUAGCUGGGAUUACAAAGUGUGAGGCACGUGCUGGCUAAACAUUUUUUUAAAAUCUCUUUUAUUAGGAGAAAGAGGAU
rnacentral:lncRNA from 10 species